AUUGAACGCUGGCGGCAGGCCUAAUACAUGCAAGUAGAGAGAAGCGGCGGGCGGACGAGUGAUGACUAGGAAGCUGACCGGUAGUGGGGGAUAACGUCCGGAAACGGGAGCUAAUACCGUAUACUAUCAGAUGAGCCUAGGGUGGAUUAGCUAGGUGGUGGGGUAAAGGCCUACAAAGGCGACGAUCCGGAACUGGUCUGAGAUGAUGAUCAGUCACACUGGAACUGAGACACGGUCCAGACUCCUACGGUAGGCAUCAGUGGGGAAUAUUGGACAAUGGGCGAAAGCCUGAUCCAGCCAUGCCGCGUGUGUGAAGAAGGUCUUCGGAUUGUAAAGCACUUUAAGUUGGGAGGCGUUACCAACAGAAUAAGCACCGGCUAACUUCGUGCCAGCAGCCGCGGUAAUUC
rnacentral:rRNA from 1 species